CGGGCGGGGAAGAGCUUCCUGGUGUCUCCCGGCUCCUGCCCUUCUCCCGCCCCAGGGGCGGGCUGCCGCCGCCCUCUGCAGCUGAGUCAGUGCAGUUCCUCACCUACCUUCUCUGCUCACCGCUGUGUGCUAGCAAUCGGAGGACCCUUGGCACACGGAGCGACAGGGGCCUCCCCCACAGACACCUCAUUUUGGGAAAGAAAAGCUACAAAUCUUCAGCAUUCUCCACUCUGUGAAGUCAGAGGAAUGGCGGGACCAUAGCUCUGAGCUCAUUGGCAAAUACAACUAAUUUCAAUUUCUGGAAUGGAAGCAGUCAGAUAUUCUUCUGACUGCACGCGUAUGUGGGAGUGCCAUGUUGAAGAGUGGAAAAUAUGGAAGAUCAGUCCCUACAAACUUAAUAGGAGAAUGACAUUCAGAUUUCCCGAGUAUUUUGCAUGUCCAACUGAAAACUGAAGUAGGUUUAUGAGAGAAUGCACGCCUACCUGGAUGGGUCUGGGGAGUGUGUCACUGUCACCGCAGAUAAUUGACAAGGGCUGAUCAAAUAGCGAUGCUUUCAAGUCUGUCUCCAAAGCCCCAGAAAAAUCUGAUGCAGGGGAGAGCCUUCUCAUGAGAAAGGGCCAGGACAGCACCUUCUUUCUCUUCUUAACUUCUACAGCCAAGAAAACAAGGCAACGAGAAAAAUUAGACUACAGUGUUAAGAAGCAAAGAUCCAGGAGAUAGGAUGGAGUGUCACCAAGAUAGAAGACAAAAACAUAAGCUGUGAAAUGUGAUUAUAAAGUAGUGACAUGAGUGCCAGAAACCACGGAGGAAACGUCUCCUUGUUCUGGAUCCACACUUCAUACGUGGUCAUUGAAACGUGGCAUCAAACGGGAGGAAUGUGAUGGGCCAGGUUAGGGGAAGAGCACCAAGCAGGGCCUUUCCCUGGGAGAUGGCACCACGUGACAUGCUUCAUACGGAAGCACAUGGGCCCUCAGCGCUGGUAUCUUGCUUCACCUGGGGAUGGUGAUGAAAUGAUGCAGAGCUGACUCAAUACGAUACAGAGCUGACUCAAUACGAUGUGUGGGAUCUUCCAUCGUGAAGCAGCUGGGAGCACCAGGAGGCAGGUUUUCCCGUGCUUAUGGAAAGCACCACAUUGUUCUGCUGGGGACAUGUUCUUUUACUCCAAGGAGUAGUGGAUGUGCAAUGGGCUGUCCUGCCCGUAGAGAUGUGUGGGGCUGGCUGCUGAGAACAGAUGGCAACUGGCUGGCUCUGAUGCCUCAGAAGAGGUGAAUGCAUUCGGAGAGGCCACAGCUGAGAGUCCCUCAAACUGGGGAGUUAUUAUUCUAAAAGUUGGAUUUUUAGCAAGAUUUUACCAGGUGAGGCUGAUUAAAUGAUGGUGGCAGGGGCGGGGAGAAAAA
ensembl:lncRNA TAGAP-AS1 TAGAP antisense RNA 1